UCCGAGUUCUGUCGAAAAUGAACGACUCGCCAAUCUUGAUAACGUUUUUGUCGGAGUAUCGACUUAAAUAGUCUCGUAGGUUUAACUUUUUUUGUGGACACCCUAAAGUUGUGUUUUUGUCACUUUAAUCGGAGUGAUAAUUUACUACUCAAGCCGUCUAAAUUUUCCGUCGUAUUUCAUCCGCUUUGCCGGCGUAAACCAACCACACAUGCAGCCACAUCAUCGUCAAUCCUAGUCACCCCUCAAUAAAUUAAAAAUUUACAAAAUUAAAAAGAAAAAAAUUCUCUCCCUCCACCCUCUUUGUUUUCCUGUAUAUGCAUCCUCUCCACUCUUUUCCUUGUCGCCGCUCCACUUUCCCCUCCGCCUCGUCCUCCUCCGCCACCCAUCCUUCAUCUCACGACACCUCUCCAUCUAGGCACUCUCAGUCUCCAGUCGUCUCCUCCUCUUCGCCGUCACCACCGACAACCUAUUCGCCAUUUAAGAGUCAAGGAGAUGGUGAAGAAAGGGAAGGAGAACGGGAUGAAAUUCUUGGACUAACGAAGGAGGUUGAUGAGUUGGUGAAGCAGAAGAAGGAUUCGGAGAAAAAAAUUAUUGGAUUGAAAGGAUUGGGGUGUCCGACAAGAGGAGUCUGGGUGAGAAGGCUGAGGAGAUUGAAUUGCUGAAGGUUGAGAUUGAGCGGAUUGAGAAGGAGAGAUGUGAUUAAUUGUCAAGAUAGAGUUCAUGGAGAAAGAUUUAAAUUUCAAAUUAAGAAUCUCAACAACAAGGGGAGCCAAAAUUAACUAACGCAUAUAUAAGUGAAGUAUGCAGUGAGAUUGUGAAACCACACUCAAUUUUUAACAUCUCAACAGCUGAAAGUUAUAGUCUUCGAAUCAAAUUUUUAACAGGAUCUAACAAACAAAUUGGUAAGACUUGAGUAAGAACCAUCAUCAAGCCUCGGUAAAGCUCUAGAUUUCCGAAAGAAGACCAACCCAUAAACUGAAAACGGUUGAGAAGCAUCAAUCAGAUGUCAGUUUCACUAUUCCCAGUUAUCGCAAACAGAAAACCAUCAUAGCGUAGCUAGCCGCUGAAUGUAAAAGAAAGCAGUUUCACUUCUUAGAACAAGCAAAGACCUAAAAUCGAAAAUGACCACAAUUCAUCGCAAACGACAUUCAUGGAAAAGAGAUCUAACCUUGGAAACAAAGUAGGCUGCAAAGUUGAGACUAGCACCAGAAAGCAACUUAGCUUUUCUAUAUCGGUACAUGAUGAGAUAGAUUUCUUGGUUUGGUCUUUGAAUUACAGCUUGGGGUAGAAGCGAAGACUUGGGAGUUCUGGUAGUAGCUCUCUCUUUCUUUUCUUCUGGGUAGCUUCUGCUUUUGCUGUCUAUGUAUGUUAUCUUGUUGUUAUCAUGAGCAUGAGCUCAAACUCUAAACUUGGAUAUUAUUUUGUUGUUAACAACAUUUAUUCUUCUUUAUUUUCCUAUUAAGUAACAGAGUUAUGAAAUGGAGAGCG
rnacentral:lncRNA from 1 species